UGGAUGGGGGUGAAAGGCCAAUCAAACCGGGAGAUAGCUGGUUCUCCCCGAAAGCUAUUUAGGUAGCGCCUCGUGAAUUCAUCUUCGGGGGUAGAGCACUGUUUCGACUAGGGGGUCAUCCCGACUUACCAACUCGAUGCAAACUGCGAAUACCGAAGAAUGUUAUCACGGGAGACACACGGCGGGUGCUAACGUCCGUCGUGAAGAGGGAAACAACCCAGACCGCCAGCUAAGGUCCCAAAGUCAUGGUUAAGUGGGAAACGAAGUGGGAAGGCUCAGACAGCCAGGAUGUUGGCUUAGAAGCAGCCAUCAUUUAAAGAAAGCGUAAUAGCUCACUGGUCGAGUCGGCCCGCGCGGAAGAUGUAACGGGGCUAAACCAUGCACCGAAGCUGCGGCAGCGACACAAAGUGUUGUUGGGUAGGGGAGCGUUCUGUAAGCCUGCGAAGGUGUACUGUGAGGUAUGCUGGAGGUAUCAGAAGUGCGAAUGCU
rnacentral:rRNA from 1 species